AUUGAACGCUGGCGGCAGGCUUAACACAUGCAAGUCGAGCGGGGUGAUGGUGCUUGCACUAUCACUUAGCGGCGGACGGGUGAGUAAUGCUUAGGAAUCUGCCUAUUAGUGGGGGACAACAUCUCGAAAGGGAUGCUAAUACCGCAUACGUCCUACGGGAGAAAGCAGGGGAUCACUUGUGACCUUGCGCUAAUAGAUGAGCCUAAGUCGGAUUAGCUAGUAGGUGGGGUAAAGGCCUACCAAGGCGACGAUCUGUAGCGGGUCUGAGAGGAUGAGCCGCCACACUGGGACUGAAAGACGGCCCAGACUCCUACGGGAGGCAGCAGUGGGGAAUAUUGGACAAUGGGGGGAACCCUGAUCCAGCCAUGCCGCGUGUGUGAAGAAGGCCUUAUGGUUGUAAAGCACUUUAAGCGAGGAGGAGGCUCUUUUGGUUAAUACCCAAGAUGAGUGGACGUUACUCGCAGAAUAAGCACCGGCUAACUCUGUGCCAGCAGCCGCCGUAA
rnacentral:rRNA from 1 species